rnacentral:rRNA from 1 species
UAGGGAAUCUUCGGCAAUGGACGGAAGUCUGACCGAGCAACGCCGCGUGAGUGAAGAAGGUUUUCGGAUCGUAAAGCUCUGUUGUUAGAGAAGAACGUUGGUAGGAGUGGAAAAUCUACCAAGUGACGGUAACUAACCAGAAAGGGACGGCUAACUACGUGCCAGCAGCCGCGGUAAUACGUAGGUCCCGAGCGUUGUCCGGAUUUAUUGGGCGUAAAGCGAGCGCAGGCGGUUCUUUAAGUCUGAAGUUAAAGGCAGUGGCUUAACCAUUGUACGUUUUGGAAACUGGAGGACGUGAGUGCAGAAGGGGAGAGGUGAAGUCGAUGGGUAGGGGUGAAAUGCGUAGAAAUAUGAAGGAACACCGGUGGCGAAAGCGGCUCUCUGGUCUGUAACUGACGCUGAGGCUCGAAAGCGUGGGGAGCAAACAGG